CACGUAGGCACCAAGCGUUGUCCGGAUUUAUUGGGCGUAAAGAGCUCGUAGGCGGUUCAGUAAGUCAGAUGUGAAAUCUUUGGGCUUAACCCAAAGCGUGCAUUUGAUACUGCUGUGACUUGAGUUCGGUAGGGGAGUGGGGAAUUCCUAGUGUAGCGGUGAAAUGCGCAGAUAUUAGGAGGAACACCAACGGCGAAGGCACUCUGCUGGGCCGACACUGACACUGAGAGACGAAAGCUAGGGGAGCAAAUGGG
rnacentral:rRNA from 1 species